UGGGGAAUUUUGGACAAUGGACGCAAGUCUGAUCCAGCCAUGCCGCGUGCGGGAAGAAGGCCUUCGGGUUGUAAACCGCUUUUGUCAGGGAAGAAACGAGUUUCUCUAAUACAGAGACUUAAUGACGGUACCUGAAGAAUAAGCACCGGCUAACUACGUGCCAGCAGCCGCGGUAAUACGUAGGGUGCAAGCGUUAAUCGGAAUUACUGGGCGUAAAGCGUGCGCAGGCGGUUAUGCAAGACAGAUGUGAAAUCCCCGGGCUCAACCUGGGAACUGCAUUUGUGACUGCAUAGCUGGAGUGCGGCAGAGGGGGAUGGAAUUCCGCGUGUAGCAGUGAAAUGCGUAGAUAUGCGGAGGAACACCGAUGGCGAAGGCAAUCCCCUGGGCCUACACUGACGCUCAUGCACGAAAGCGUGGGGAGCAAACA
rnacentral:rRNA from 1 species